UCGGCUCCCUGAGCCAGCGCGCCCAUGCGAUGGAUCGAGCCGACCUUGUCGCCGAGCAUGAUGGCGCCGUCGGCGCGCACCAGGGCGGCGUGCUUCUUCUUUGGUGCCGGGCACGAUCAUGCCGCGCUCGACCAGUUCGGAGAACGCGACACGCGGUGCACCGCGUGCGGUCAUGAACGGAGCCAAGGUCGCUUCCGGCAGCGGCUCNNNNNNNNCGAUGCGCGCUUCGGCGGCCGUUGCAUAGGUCUGAUCACGCUCGAAGCCGACAUAGCGACGGCCGAGGCGCUUGGCGACAGCGCCGGUGGUGCCGGUGCCGUUGAAAGG
rnacentral:misc_RNA from 1 species